rnacentral:rRNA from 1 species
AAAGGAAUUGACGGAAGGGCACCACCAGGAGUGGAGCCUGCGGCUUAAUUUGACUCAACACGGGGAAACUCACCAGGUCCAGACACAAUAAGGAUUGACAGAUUGAGAGCUCUUUCUUGAUUUUGUGGGUGGUGGUGCAUGGCCGUUCUUAGUUGGUGGAGUGAUUUGUCUGCUUAAUUGCGAUAACGAACGAGACCUUAACCUACUAAAUAGUGGUGCUAGCAUUUGCUGGUUGUCCACUUCUUAGAGGGACUAUCGGUUUCAAGCCGAUGGAAGUUUGAGGCAAUAACAGGUCUGUGAUGCCCUUAGACGUUCUGGGCCGCACGCGCGCUACACUGACGGAGCCAGCGAGUCUAACCUUGGCCGAGAGGUCUUGGUAAUCUUGUGAAACUCCGUCGUGCUGGGGAUAGAGCAUUGUAAUUAUUGCUCUUCAACGAGGAAUUCCUAGUAAGCGCAAGUCAUCAGCUUGCGUUGAUUACGUCCCUGCCCUUUGUACACACCGCCCGU